UACAGAGGGGGCAAGCGUUAUUCGGAAUUAUUGGGCGUAAAGGGCGCGUAGGCGGCUUGGCAAGUGGAAGGUGAAAUCCCUCGGCUUAACCGAGGAACUGCCCUCCAAACUGCUUUGCUUGAGGCCGGGAGAGGUGAGUGGAAUUCCGAGUGUAGAGGUGAAAUUCGUAGAUAUUCGGAGGAACACCAGUGGCGAAGGCGGCUCACUGGUCCGGUACUGACGCUGAGGUGCGAAAGCGUGGGGAGCAAACAGG
rnacentral:rRNA from 1 species